UGUCCAGAUUCGUAGCUCCCCAUCGGAUGGCCUAAUCAGCUAAAGAAAAAGGCAAUAGGAAUCAGACGAGGUCACAGGUACAGGCGCCUCGCCAAGUGUAACAAGAGACACGCCCCGUUCUUGUCUCGUACCGACUCUGCUUCGGACGGCCGUUCACCAGUUCUGCUCCUGCAUCCUUUUGCCAUCAUCAGGUAAACACGCCCAGCUCUUUGGGUUAGGGGAGCUAUUCCAAAACUGACCAACUCGAGCGAUAGCUUGCAACAGCCAGUGGCGGACUUAGGAUUUGAACCCAGGGUAGACCUAGCCAAAAAAAAUCCGAAUACAAUACAAUACAAUAUGAUUCGAUAUAAAAUGUGGUAAACGAUACGGUAUGCAACUCUAAAUGAUUCAAUACAAGUAGAAAGUAACAAAUAAGUUUGAAUCUUACCUAAAUAACAAUGUAAAUAGGAUAUUACAAUACUUAAUACUAGUCAAGACUAAGCUUUACGCUUCUUCAUGGUCACGAAAGAGUGAAUUAUGUCUUCCUCACUUACAUCAGAGAAGAUAUCACGCUCAAUCUCCUAACAACCAUCAAACCAUGCAAAAUUGUCAUAUGAAAUUGAAGGGGUAGUACACUAGUAGUAUGGUUUGCUCGGUCUUUCGCCUCUAUUUCAGAAAUAGGAAAAUAGCUGAUUCUACUUCAUGUAUAACUAAUCGUUCCAAGAAUUUCUCUAAACAUGUUUGUUGAUAUUGUUCAAUGCCUAAAUGAUAGUUGUCAUUAUGUACAUCUAUGGCUAAUACGGCCAAAAAGUAAUGACAAAAUCAGCUAGUAGGUUUAGAAUUACUCACCGGAGUCCAGAGAGGCGGAGAGCCGGAGCGGAGAGGCAGUGGCGCCUGGGCGGCUGCCGGCUGGGUGCUGGAACCGCCGGCCGGAGAGGGUGCGCUAGCCGGCCAGGCCUGGGGCACGCUGGUGACUCGGCGAGGGGCGAAGGGAGUCGUGGAGAGUGCGCGGCCGCGGCGCCGCGUGGGCGCCGGCGCGGCGCGUGAAGGCAGCGGCGCCGCUACCACGGCUGGGCGCGCGCCUGGCGGGAGCCGGGAGGCCGCCGCCCGCCAGCUGGACGCGGCGGGAGGAACGACGGCGCGAGUAGCGGCCUCGCGGGACGGCAGGAGCGCCGGAGUCGCGGCUCGCGGGACCGUCGUCGCCGUCGGUCGUUUGGGACUUGGGAGCAGUGGCGGAAAGGGAGGGGAGAUUGCACGGGAGAGAGAAGAAGAUAUUAGGGUUUUUUUUGUUUGAUGGGCCAGGCUUUUUUCGUGGGCCAAUAAAACUGAAUGCUGGGUCUUCUCUGGGCCAAAUUCUAGGGUAGUCCUAGGCCUAUCUGGACUACCCCUUGGGUCCGCCCCUGGCAACAGCGAUGUCGCUGUCCGAGUAGAACCAGAACCAAAUUAUUUGAGCUCGACUUCGAUCCCCGGAUGGUCACCGGUUAGGUUAGCAAUAACCAAAACAACGCGACUGAAAUUGAAACAUCAACCGGUAGCAGACUGCCCGGGCGAAAGAGACUCCUCUGGUCGCCAAUAAUUUUCGGUGUGACCACGGUUAAAGAUUGUUCAGUGCAAUACGCAACACGCAGUGCCUUCUCGAAGUGCAGAGGAAUUAUUAAAGCACCUGAAGAUGAGAUGACCGCAUACUUCCAACAUGGUUUGGUUCACGCGAAACGUUGGAUUGGUUAUCGUUUCGCGGUCUCUUCUGGUCGAUUUGGUGGGUUAGCGGGUGAUUGUGGAACAAGUCGGGUGCAGGGUGCUAGUGGUUUCCGUAAGCAGCUCGACUUGACAACAAAUUUCGCCACCCAAUCCGUAAUAGAGCGUACAGUCUCUGCCGGUGCAACAGCAGGGAGAUCAACAAAAAUGGAAUACAGUAAAUUAGACUUGGUGCAGGAGUGGCGUUUUAGACUUAAUUCGCACUUGACAGCUACUAGGGGUUUUACUUUUUCUUAGAAGGGUCUGAAAUUGAUUUUUCUUAACUAAAUAUAGUUGAAUUGUACGUACUUCUAAGCCUGGAAGCAACUAAGAUGCAAUCGGUGAACUUCAAGUCCAGCAUUUUUCUCAAGCAAAGCACCUUAAGGACAAAUCCUUUCUUGCAUCUGUGACUGUGAGUUCGCCAUCAGACAUUCAGACUGCUAAUUCUCCCAGUACUUGGCACUGGCAGAUCUGCCGAUGUUUCCAGCGGAGCAAGAGGCUGGAUAACUGCUACUAGCACCACUCACGCAAGCGAAAGAAGCACAUGAACGCAAAGCACCAACGUAUGUGCACUGUGCAGCGCAAAUCGCCGAGAUGCCGUUCUGUAAAGCGGCGAAAGAUUUCGCUUUUGCUGUGCCAAAAAGGCUGCUAGUAGAACAUCCGAUGCCAUCCGGACCGGCCUACGCGUGACCGCCACGUCGGCCGACCAACGGAUCGCAAGCGACCGAAAGCGCGCUGCGCCGCCGCUGCCGCCACGAGCUCACGACAAUUCCACGAAUGCGAAUCGAAACGGCAGCGACCACGGCGCCACCCCCAUGUGUGUACCUGCGCUGUGCGUGCGGCCGAGCAUCCGCGCCGCGCGACGAGCAGACGACUCGUCGCUCGCUUUUCUCCCCAGAACAUCGCCGUCGCUGACUCGUUUGUUCUUUUCUCUCGAGCUUACGUGUGGAAUGUUCUUAUAUGCUUUGAACUUACUCCAAUGAGAAAAAAUAUAUAGAUUAAAUUGAAAUGCAUUUAUCAUCCUAUCGAAAUUUCACGUGGAAUUUAACUUAUAUAGAGUUAUAAAAAAGAGAAAUAGUGGUAGAAAAUAAAGUGAACCUUUGUAGUAGUUCAGGGCUAGAGCUCAGCUAGUGUAGCAGCACCGCACACUAAAUCUAACCAAAUGGAGGCGAAAAGAUGUCUCGCCACUCAUCUUUGCCCUAGCCAUGACCGUCGUCGCGUCGGCAUCUUCUUCGGCGCCUGCACCA